rnacentral:rRNA from 1 species
UACAGAGGGGGCAAGCGUUGUUCGGAAUUACUGGGCGUAAAGGGCGCGUAGGCGGCCUGUUAAGUCGAACGUGAAAUCCCCGGGCUCAACCCGGGAACUGCGUCCGAUACUGGCAGGCUUGAAUUCGGGAGAGGGAUGUGGAAUUCCAGGUGUAGCGGUGAAAUGCGUAGAUAUCAGGAGGAACACCGGUGGCGAAGGCGGGUCUCUGGGCCGUAACUGACGCUGAGGAGCGAAAGCCAGGGGAGCAAACGGG